rnacentral:lncRNA from 1 species
AUGGAUUGCAUUUUAUCAACCAAUGUCUUUUUUGUCCUUUCCUCCUCAGAGAUAUGCAUGGUGUCCCCAGGUUUCUCCUCUGAUGUUGUUGAUUGGACAUCGGUUUCACCCUCAUUUUGUUGCCUGACUGGUGGUGUCAGUAUGGUUUCCACUUCUAGGGACUGUGCUUUAUCAUCUGAUGGAGUCAUCUUUAUCUCAUCUUCUACAGUGACAGUGUUAACCUCUGUACCUUCAGGUGUCUUCUCUGAUGUUGUUGAGAUAUUCACCUUGUUUGAUGGGACAUCAAACUUAUUUUCGUUUCUUCGGCUGACUGGUGGUGUCGGUUUAGGUUCAGCCUCAGUGGAAUGUGCUUUUUCAUCUGAUGGGGUCUUGUUUGUCUCUUCUUCUACAAUGACAUCUGAGUUGUCUACAACUUCAUGUUUUUCCUCUGGUGUCAGUGAAACAUUCAUUCUUUUAGACUGUACUUCGGUGUCCCACUCAUUCCGUUCCUCAAUGACAUGCAAGGCUUCUUCACAUUCAAUUUUCUCCUCUGUUGAUACAUCCAACUUUUCUGACUGGACUUUAGUUUUCUGGUCAUUCUGUUGUUUGAUUGAGGGUGUCAGUUCAGGUUCAGCUUCCAUGGAUUGUGCUUUAUUAUCUGAUGAUGUUGUCUUUGUCUCCUCUACUACAUUUACUUCCACAGCCUCUUCACCUUCAGCAUUCUCCUUUUGUGUUGAGACAGUCAUUUUAGGUUCAGAUUCCAUGAAUUGUGCUUUUUCACCUGAUGGGGUCUUGUUCAUCUCUUCUUCUACAAUCACAUCGGUGGCUUCUACAACUUCAGGUUUCUCCUCGGUUGUUAAUGAGACAUACAUUUUUUCAGGUUGUACCUCAGUGCCCCAGUCAACCAGGAGCUUGAUUGGAGGUGUCAGUUCAGGUUCAAUUACUUUGGAUUGUGUUUUACCACCUGAUUGGGUCUUUGUCUCUUCUCCCAAAAUGACGUCAAUGGCUUCUUCACCUUCAGGUUUCUCCUCUAUUGUUGUUGAGACAUACACUUUUUUUGUUUGUUGGAUCUCAGUUUCUACCUCAUUUUGUUGCUUGAUUGGAGGUUUACAUUUAGGAUCAACUUCUGUGAAUUGCAUUUCAUCACCUGAUGGGGUCUUCUUUGUCUCUUCUUCUACAAUGAAAUGCAUGACUUCUCCAACUUGCCUUGUUGGUAGUUUAAGGCUUGCUUCAAUCAGUUCAGAUUGCUCAGAUGCUUCUAAAGGUCUGUUUGUACUGGCUAUGACCUCUGACUCUGUUUUAUCAUCACAUUCUGUCUCCAUUCUUUCUGACACUGAACGUUCUGAUCCCGGAAUCUGUGUCUCAGUGGGUUCACUGAAAAGAGAAGCUUCAUGA